rnacentral:misc_RNA from 1 species
AGGUAUGUCUCUCAAGUUCUGCAUCUAUUCUGUACUGCUAUUUUAUAUCAUCCAUGAUCCCCAAAGGCAAGUUUAGGCUUCUUUCUCUUCUGCCAAUCAUCUUCCUCUUCAUCCUCCUCCCUCUCUUCUUAUCCUACCUAUCUCCAAAAGCCAUCACUUCCUUGUUCAUCUCUUGGUUAGCCAAUUUCAAGCUCCUUCUUUUUGCCUUUCAUCAAGGUCCACUUUCACAUCACCCGCAUAAGUCUUUUGUCCAAUUCAUCUCCAUGGCUAUCCUCCCCAUCGAAAUCAAAUAAAUGAAAGUUACCCUUCUUCCCCAGAUCCACCAAAGCCAAUAAAAAAUUCAUCUUCAAAACCUCCCAGAUUACCUCUCAAUUGGCCAACCAAAGUUUUGCCUUUUACCAUUUUGGUUAGUUUUCAUGGUUAUAAAGAUCAUAUGCAUCCAAACAUGGUUUUAGUGCUACACUGUUGUAUGCUUUAUUGAUUGGUGGACAUAAUUCUUGGAAUUUCUAAUGCAUUGCUUUACACUAUAUUAAAUAUGGAGCCACAACCACCGUCCGAUGAGCCCUACUGCUCAACAUCAUUGCAAGAUUUCUGAGGUAGAAGGUGGAACCUCAUGGUAACAAAUGUACUACGCCAUACGGUAUACAAACCCGUAAAGUAAUCUUUGGAAACAUGGCUAGGCCAGCAGGCUCCACUGCCGCCCAUUUUGGCUGCUUUCCUGGUAUCUGGUAUUAUGCAUGAGCUGCUUUUUUACCAGAUGACACGAGUGCGUCCCACGUGGGAAGUGACCUGCUUCUUCAUCCUCCAUGGCGUGUGUGUGGUUGCGGAGGCUGGUUUAAAGAGGUUGUUAGGUGGCAGAUGGCAGUUGCACUGGGGGGGUAUCAGGACAGUUGCCAGUUGGAUUUGUGAUGGUCACUGCCAAGUUGCUGUUUUUUCCACAGUUAAUUGGAACAGGUGCCACUGAUGAGGUCAUCGAAGAAUGCAAGAUGUUAUCCAUUUAUGUGAAGGGGAUGAUAAUCUAAACACUCGAGUUCUAAUCACAAAACAAAAGUCAUUGAAAAUCAUAUCUCAGAGUCUCUUGCUUAUCGCAUGAGAAAUUGAACUCAACUUUUUUGGAUUUAGGUACAUUUCUUGAUUACUUGCGGAGAUGCUUGACAAGAGGUGACUUGGUGCCAUGACCGAUACAUGUGGUGUUGUGAGCAAAUUGCCAGAGAAGGAGAUCAGUGAGAAUGACAAGAGCUUUUAGCCUUCAAUUUUUACAAAACAACUGAUUGAUUGGGCAAGUGAGUUGAACAGACAUGCUUAAGAGGACGAAGCAGUUUGAGAAGUGACUCACGACGGCAAAGAAUGAUGGACGCGUGGGUGGUCUUCACUUGCAUAAGCAAAGAAAUGGAAGGAGUGCGUCGAUAGACGAGAGGGAGGGACAAGGGGAAACAGCAUCUUUUUCUUUAUUUAUUUUUAUUUUUCACAUCAACCUGAGCAAGCAGGUCCAGGGUGCAUGUCAACUACUUCUACAAUUAAUUUGAUAAAAGACUUGACUAGAAAGUAUAAUUGUG